rnacentral:rRNA from 1 species
GACGAACGCUGGCGGCGUGCCUAAUACAUGCAAGUAGAACGCUGAAGCGAGGAGCUUACUCUUCUUGGAUGAGUUGCGAACGGGUGAGUAACGCGUAGGUAACCUGCCUUGUAGCGGGGGAUAACGAUUGGAAACGAUAGCUAAUACCGCAUAACAAUGGAUGACACAUGUCAUUUAUUUGAAAGGGGCAAUUGCUCCACUACAAGAUGGACCUGCGUUGUAUUAGCUAGUAGGUGAGGUAAUGGCUCACCUAGGCGACGAUACAUAGCCGACCUGAGAGGGUGAUCGGCCACACUGGGACUGAGACACGGCCCAGACUCCUACGGGAGGCAGCAGUAGGGAAUCUUCGGCAAUGGGGGCAACCCUGACCGAGCAACGCCGCGUGAGUGAAGAAGGUUUUCGGAUCGUAAAGCUCUGUUGUAAGUCAAGAACGGGUGUGAGAGUGGAAAGUUCACACUGUGACGGUAGCUGACCAGAAAGGGACGGCUAACUACGUG